rnacentral:rRNA from 1 species
GAGUUUGAUCAUGGCUCAGAACGAACGCUGGCGGCAUGCCUAACACAUGCAAGUCGAACGAGACCUUCGGGUCUAGUGGCGCAUGGGUGCGUAACGCGUGGGAAUCUGCCCUUGGGUUCGGAAUAACAGUUAGAAAUGACUGCUAAUACCGGAUGAUGUCUUCGGACCAAAGAUUUAUCGCCCAGGGAUGAGCCCGCGUCGGAUUAGCUAGUUGGUGAGGUAAAGGCUCACCAAGGCGACGAUCGAUAUCCGGCCUGAGAGGGCGGACGGACACACUGGGACUGAGACACGGCCCAGACUCCUACGGGAGGCAGCAGUAGGGAAUUGUUCGCAAUGGGCGCAAGCCUGACGACGCAACGCCGCGUGGAGGAUGAAGACCUUCGGGUCGU